AAGAGCGCAGGGUGGAUGCCUUGGCACUAAGAGCCGAUGAAAGACGUGAUAAGCUGCGAAAAGCUUCGGGGAGGAGCAAAUAUCCAUUGAUCCGGAGAUAUCUGAAUGGGGAAACCUGGCUGAGAAGACCUCAGUCGUCGUAACGUGAAUCCAUAGCGUUACGUCGGGAACCGCCUGAACUGAAACAUCUAAGUAGGGCGAGGAAAAGAAAGAAAACUCGAUUUCCAAAGUAGCGGCGAGCGAAAUGGAAAGAGCCUAAACCGGAGCGCGUGCGUUCCGGGGUUACGGACUGCAACAAGUGAGUCGAUUUGUUAGUGGAACGGUCUGGGAAGUCCGGCCACAGAGGGUGAAAGCCCCGUACACGAAAGCAAUAGACAGCGAGCAGGAUCCAAAGUACCACGAGACACGAGAAACCUUGUGGGAAUUCGGGGGGACCACCCCCCAAGGCUAAAUACUCCUUAGUGACCGAUAGCGCAUAGUACUGUGAAGGAAAGGUGAAAAGGACCCCGGGAGGGGAGUGAAAGAGAACCUGAAACCCUGUGUUUACAAGCUGUGGAAGCACUUUAUAUGUGCAACCGCGUACUUUUUGUAGAACGGUCCGGCGAGUUACCUGUACUGGCAAGGUUAAGCACUCAAGGUGCGGAGCCGAAGGGAAACCAAGUCUUAAUAGGGCCAAAGUCAGUAUGGGUAGACCCGAAACCGGGUGAUCUAUCCAUGUCCAGGUUGAAGCUGCCGUAAAAGGCGGUGGAGGACCGAACACACAUCCGUUGAAAAGGGUGGUGAUGAGGUGUGGAUAGGGGAGAAAUUCCAAUCGAACCCGGAGAUAGCUGGUUCUCCUCGAAAUAGCUUUAGGGCUAGCCUCGUGUUAGUCUCCUGGAGGUAGAGCACUGAAUUCUUAAGGGGGCGUCAAAGCUUACCAAGAGAUAUCAAACUCCGAAUGCCAGAGAGAUGAUGCACGGGAGUCAGACGGCACGAGAUAAGUUGGGUCGUCAAAAGGGAAAGAGCCCAGACCACCAGCUAAGGUCCCAAAGUGCGUGUUAAGUGGAAAAGGAUGUGGGAUUUCGAAGACAACUAGGAUGUUGGCUCAGAAGCAGCCACACAUUCAAAGAGUGCGUAAUAGCUCACUAGUCGAGAGGUCCUGCGCCGAAAAUGUCCGGGGCUGAAACACGACACCGAAGCUGUGGACUUGUCAUUAGACAAGUGGUAGAGGAGCAUUCUUAACUGCGGCGAAGCAGUACCGAUAAGGAGCUGUGGAGUGUUAAGAAGAGAGAAUGCCGGAAUGAGUAGCGAGAUGGAGGUGGGAAUCCUCCAGGCCGAAUAUCUAAGGUUUCCAGAGUAAAGCUGAUCUGCUCUGGGUAAGUCGGGACCUAAGGCAAGGUCGAAAGACGUAGUCGAUGGACAACAGGUUGAAAUUCCUGUACCACAUAUCAUCAGAACUGUGGGGACACAGGACGAUAACCAGACCCGGGAAUGAAAAGACCGGGGCAAGCGAAGAAGGAGUUAAGCUGGCAAAUCCGCUUANNNNNNNNNNACACAGGACGAUAACCAGACCCGGGAAUGAAAAGACCGGGGCAAGCGAGGUAGGAGUUAAGCUGGCAAAUCCGCUUAACAAUCCGAAGACGUGAUGCGGACCGAACAAAAGUAGGGAAGCUGGUGAUUCGAACUGUCAAGAAAAGCCGCUAUUGUGUGAUAUGUGCCCGUACCGUAAACCGACACAGGUGGAUGAGGAGAGAAUCCUAAGGCCGGCGGGAGAAGCAUUGUUAAGGAACUCGGCAAAAUGACCCUGUAACUUCGGGAUAAAGGGUGCCUGCGCAAGCAGGCCGCAGAGAAUAGGCUCAAGCAACUGUUUAGCAAAAACACAGGUCUAUGCAAAACCGAAAGGUGAGGUAUAUGGGCUGACGCCUGCCCGGUGCUGGAAGGUUAAGAGGAGAGGUUAGAGCAAUCGAAGCUUUGAAUUUAAGCCCCAGUAAACGGCGGCCGUAACUAUAACGGUCCUAAGGUAGCGAAAUUCCUUGUCGGGUAAGUUCCGACCCGCACGAAAGGCGUAAUGAUUUGAGCGCUGUCUCGACAAUGCACCCGGUGAAAUUGAAAUACCAGUGAAGAUGCUGGUUACCUGCGCCAGGACGGAAAGACCCCAUGGAGCUUUACUCCAGCUUGAUACUGGGAUUCGGUUAUACAUGUACAGGAUAGGUGGGAGGCUAAGAAAUGAGGACGCCAGUCUUCAUGGAGCCGCUGUUGGGAUACCACCCUUGUGUGACUGGGUUUCUAACCUGCAGCCGUGACCCGGCUGGGGGACAAUGUCAGGUGGGGAGUUUGACUGGGGCGGUCGCCUCCGAUACCCUUUCGGAGGCGCUCAAAGGUUCCCUCAGAAUGGUUGGAAACCAUUUGUAGAGUGCAAAGGCAUAAGGGAGCUUGACUGCGAGACCGACGGGUCGAGCAGGUAGGAAACUAGGACUUAGUGAUCCGGUGGUAUAAAGUGGGAUUGCCAUCGCUCAACGGAUAAAAGCUACCCUGGGGAUAACAGGCUUAUCACUCCCAAGAGUUCACAUCGACGGAGUGGUUUGGCACCUCGAUGUCGGCUCAUCGCAUCCUGGGGCUGAAGUAGGUCCCAAGGGUUGGGCUGUUCGCCCAUUAAAGCGGUACGCGAGCUGGGUUCAGAACGUCGUGAGACAGUUCGGUCCCUAUCCGGCGUGGGCGUAGGAUAUUUGAGAGGAGCUGUCCUUAGUACGAGAGGACCGGGAUGGACUGACCUCUGGUGCAUCGGUUGGGUAUCAAACCCAUGGCCGAGUAGCCAAGUCGGGACGGGAUAAACGCUGAAGGCAUCUAAGCGUGAAGCCCCCCUCAAGAUGAGAUAUCCCAUACGCAAGUAGUAAGACCCCUUGAAGACGACGAGGUAGAUAGGGCAGAGGUGGAAGUGUGGUAACACAUGCAGCUGACUGUCACUAAUAGGUCGAGGGCU
rnacentral:rRNA from 1 species